rnacentral:rRNA from 2 species
UUAUCUGGGUUGAGGACAGUGCCUGGUGGGUAGUUUGACUGGGGCGGUCUCCUCCCAAAGAGUAACGGAGGAGCACGAAGGUGGGCUAAUCACGGUUGGACAUCGUGAGGUUAGUGCAAUGGCAUAAGCCCGCUUAACUGCGAGAAUGACGGUUCGAGCAGGUGCGAAAGCAGGUCAUAGUGAUCCGGUGGUUCUGUAUGGAAGGGCCAUCGCUCAACGGAUAAAAGGUACUCCGGGGAUAACAGGCUGAUACCGCCCAAGAGUUCAUAUCGACGGCGGUGUUUGGCACCUCGAUGUCGGCUCAUCACAUCCUGGGGCUGAAGUCGGUCCCAAGGGUAUGGCUGUUCGCCAUUUAAAGUGGUACGCGAGCUGGGUUUAGAACGUCGUGAGACAGUUCGGUCCCUAUCUGCCGUGGGCGUUGGAAGAUUGAAGGGGGCUGCUCCUAGUACGAGAGGACCGGAGUGGACGAACCUCUGGUGUUCGGGUUGUGUCGCCAGACGCAUUGCCCGGUAGCUAAGUUCGGAAUUGAUAAGCGCUGAAAGCAUCUAAGCGCGAAGCGAGCCCUGAGAUGAGUCUUCCCUGACAGUUUAACUGUCCUAAAGGGUUGUUCGAGACUAGAACGUUGAUAGGCAGGGUGUGUAAGCGUUGUGAGGCGUUGAGCUAACCUGUACUAAUUGCCCGUGAGGCUUAACCAUACAACACCCAAGGGGUUUUGUA